GAGGGAGAGGGUCUCCAGGUGAAAUCAAUUGCCAAUGGCUAAUAAUUUAACCAAUCACACCUGUGUAGUGAAGCUUCUAUUAAAAACCCAAAGGACAGAGUUCAGAGAGCUUCCGGGUUGGUAAACCGGAACAUGUCUCCGUGGCGGGUCCCAAACUUCACCUGGACAGAAGUUCCUGUGUUCGGGACCUCUUGCUGUUCAUUUGUAUCCUUUGUCAUAAACCAGUAAUCUGGUACAUUGCAUGAGCAUCGAUGCCAGGCCAGCAGGCACCCACAGGACAACUAUCUCAUGGCUAGCUGGGACAUUCACACCACAAAAGCAAAGGGACUAAUGCUGCCUGAGCAGGGGAAGAGAAAAUAUCUGUGAUGAGUUGUUCUUGAUGAUUCCAAGACACAGAAAUAAUUGUGGAGCAGAGGAACUUUUCAGGGAACUGGAGUUUCCAAAAUGGAGAGUGCGGUUAAGUGGGUUACAUGUACAGAGAGAGAGACAGAGCAUGAGCGGGGAAGGGGCAGAGAGAGAGGGAGA